rnacentral:rRNA from 1 species
GUGAGGAAUAUUGGUCAAUGGAGGCAACUCUGAACCAGCCAAGUAGCGUGCAGGAUGACGGCCCUAUGGGUUGUAAACUGCUUUUAUAAGGGAAUAAAAGGUGCCACGUGUGGUGUUUUGCAUGUACCUUAUGAAUAAGGACCGGCUAAUUCCGUGCCAGCAGCCGCGGUAAUACGGAAGGUCCGGGCGUUAUCCGGAUUUAUUGGGUUUAAAGGGAGCGCAGGCGGGCUUUUAAGCGUGACGUGAAAUGCGGCGGCUCAACCGUCCGAAGUGCGUCGCGAACUGGGAGCCUUGAGUGAGUCCGACGUCGGCGGAAUUCGUGGUGUAGCGGUGAAAUGCUUAGAUAUCACGAAGAACCCCGAUUGCGAAGGCAGCUGACGAGGCCUUUACUGACGCUAAAGCUCGAAGGUGCGGGUAUCGAACAGGAUUAGAAACCCUAGUAGUCC